CCUGUGGUUCAGUUUCUGGAAGGAGAACUACUCAUAGUGUGUUUGUAUUGCAAUCCAGGUGGACGCUUUGCCUCAAGGGAAAAAAUGACCCUUCUAAAGAACUGUCGAAGUUUUCUGUCAAACUUUUUCUUCAUUCCAGUGGGCAUGUUGCAGGUAAUAAUUUCUGUUUUUUGGAGAAUCCCUAGAGCUUCUUGGAAUGCAAAAGGAAGGCUUUUCUCUCUCUCUCUCUCUCUCUCUCUCUCCCUCCCAGCAAUAAGUGCAUGCGUUCAUCGUAGCACGGUUUUCUGGAUUGGCUGUUUUGAGGGCUCUCUCUCUCUUCUCCCCUUCCCAGCAAUAAGUGCAUGUGUUCAUUGUAGCACGGUUUUCUGGAUUGGCUGUUUUGAGGGCUUAGUUAUUUGAAAAAUAGA